UACGAAGGGGGCUAGCGUUGCCCGGAAUUAUUGGGCGUAAAGGGUGCGUAGGCGGUUUGGUAAGUCUUAUGUGAAAUCUACAGGCUCAACUUGUAGUCUGCAUGAGAAACUGCCGGGCUUGAGUAUGGGAGAGGUGAGUGGAAUUCCUGGUGUAGCGGUGAAAUGCGUAGAUAUCAGGAGGAACACCUGUGGCGAAAGCGGCUCACUGGACCAUAACUGACGCUGAUGCACGAAAGCUAGGGGAGCAAACAGG
rnacentral:rRNA from 1 species